AAUUCUAAGAAUUUUCAGCCUAUUGAGGGUUCUGAACAAUGGACACACUGGCUUACUGGGAAGAUGACACUUGAAUGCCACCUUCUAGAGGAGACCUUCCUGCCUAUGGCUCUCUUGGAUUUAGCUUUCUGGAAAUGCUGCCAGGGAAGAAAAGGACAGAAAUUGAAGAGUUCUCCAUCACACCUACAGUGAGCCAAUGGACCUUCAAGGAUAAAAUCCAGCUAUCUAUAAACCCUAAUGUUUCCUUCCUUUUCUCAAGUCUUAGAUGCAUGGACCAAAGGAGGAAGUAGCGUGACUUUGGAUUUACAUUUCUAGCAGCUGCUAUCUCCUGGAGCUGAUUUACAAGUUCUGUGAUUGACAACCUUUCUUCUGGGUUCACCUUCAAUGUAGAACCUUAAAACAGAAGCAUAUUUUAGAUAUGUCAGUCCUGAAAAAAGAACAAGUAGGAUGAAGCUAGCAAUUAUCAUCAACCCAACAAAGUAAGAGUACAAAUUUUGAAGAUGCGUAGAGCAUGACAACAAGUAGUUCACAUUUAAGAGAAAAAUCUGAAAAUAUAUUCAGGAUAUUCCCAUAUAGAACAGGAUACAUAUUCAUUUAACAGCAAUGUAGGUAAUAAAGUUGGAGAUGUUAACAAGAUAAUAAAA